GAUGAACGCUGGCGGCGUGCCUAAUACAUGCCAGUCGAGCGAACAGACGAGGAGCUUGCUCCUCUGACGUUAGCGGCGGACGGGUGAGUAACACGUGGAUAACCUACCUAUAAGACUGGGAUAACUUCGGGAAACCGGAGCUAAUACCGGAUAAUAUAUUGAACCGCAUGGUUCAAUAGUGAAAGACGGUUUUGCUGUCACUUAUAGAUGGAUCCGCGCCGCAUUAGCUAGUUGGUAAGGUAACGGCUUACCAAGGCAACGAUGCGUAGCCGACCUGAGGGGGUGGUCGGCCACACUGGAACUGAGACACGGUCCAGACUCCUACGGGAGGCAGCAGUAGGGAAUCUUCCGCAAUGGGCGAAAGCCUGACGGAGCAACGCCGCGUGAGUGAUGAAGGUCUUCGGAUCGUAAAACUCUGUUAUGAGGGAAGAACAAAUGUGUAAGUAACUAUGCACGUCUUGACGGUACCUAAUCAGAAAGCCACGGCUAACUACGUG
rnacentral:rRNA from 1 species